rnacentral:rRNA from 1 species
AUUGAACGCUGGCGGCAGGCCUAACACAUGCAAGUCGAACGAGCGGCGGACGGGUGAGUAAUGUCUGGGAAACUGCCCGAUGGAUGGGGAUAACUACUGGAAACGGUAGCUAAUACCGCAUACCAUCGGAUGUGCCCAGAUGGGAUUAGCUAGUAGGUGGGGUAAAGGCUCACCUAGGCGACGCUCUCUAGCUGGUCUGAGAGGAUAACCAGCCACACUGGAACUGAGACACGGUCCAGACUCCUACGGGAGGCAGCGGUGGGGAAUAUUGCACAAUGGGCGCAAGCCUGAUGCAGCCAUGCCGCGUGUAUGAAGAAGGCCUUAGGGUUGUAAAGUACUUUCAGCGGGGAGGCGUUACCCGCAGAAGAAGCACCGGCUAACUCCGUGCCAGCAGCCGCGGUAAUUC